rnacentral:tRNA from 1 species
UCCUGGUUGAUCUAGUGGCUAGGACUCUGUACUUCCAGUGCAGGGGCCCAGGUUUGAUCCCUGGUCAGGGAA